UUUUGUCACCUAUAAAAAGGCAUCAAGUGCCUUGAGGAAGGGUCUUCAACUUUUGAGCCCAAAUAUUUCUUAAUCUCUAACAGAUCUGAACUUCAAAUUGAGAUCAAAAUAUCAUUUUAGAUUUUAGUUUUCUUCAGAAAAAGCCAAAAACAUUAGAAAUUACAAAAAAAAUUGUUCUGUACCAAUUCCUUCGUUGAAUUUUGAGUUUGAGAGGUUAAUUUGCACUUCUAGUUCAGUUCCCAGUAAUUGGAGUUUCAGAAUUAUGAGUGGUUUUGGG
rnacentral:lncRNA from 1 species